ACAACCGCCGAGUUAAAACAGAACUACGAGAUGGCUAGAUCCUCGAAAGGGGUACGUAGGCAGCUCGUUGAAGGACGAGUUCAGCUAUCCCCCUCUCCAAAAAGGGGGGGGAGUGGGUGCGUAUACUCGUAUAUUCCCACAUAGGAAAAGAUGCGUUAUUGUAAUCGAAUUCUAUCGAGAUUUCGAAAUUUUUUACGAAAUAUGCGUCGCUCUUUUUAAGACAAAAUCGCAAAACAAUCUCAAUUCAAAAAUAUACGUAUAGUCUUCGAAAUAACUGCGAGACGUCGCCAAGUUAAAAAUCGAGAUGAUACGAACAAAUUGUCCGAACGCGACCACUACAAAUCUUACACUCCGUUCAUCGAUUGGCCCCGACGAACACAUCAGCCGUCUUAAAAAAAUGCAACCUGAUCACUCUUUUGAUCUUCAAACGUCCAACACAAGGACGAAAGCGCACUACAAAAAAAAUCCAAAAUUUUGGUCUAGCACUUCCAGUUGGCUUAAAAAUUGUUUCUGGAAAGAUGCUCGAUUCGUACCAUACAAGUCGUAUAAGCCGAGAAUCCAUCGCGGACUUUAAAUCGGUACGAAUCAGGUAGAAAUCGCAACAG
rnacentral:lncRNA from 1 species